rfam:Mesocricetus auratus contig136180, whole genome shotgun sequence.
GGAGAGGUGGCUUAGUGGUUAAGAGCAUCGGCUGCUCUUUCAGAGGCCCUGAGUUCAAUUCCCAGCAUCUACA